UACAGAGGGUGCGAGCGUUGUUCGGAAUCAUUGGGCGUAAAGCGCUUGUAGGCGGCUUGUUAAGUCGCGUGUGAAAUCCCUUGGCUCAACCAAGGAAGUGCGCGCGAAACUGGCGAGCUCGAGUGCCGGAGAGGGUCGCGGAAUUCCCGGUGUAGAGGUGAAAUUCGUAGAUAUCGGGAGGAACACCAGUGGCGAAGGCGGCGACCUGGACGGACACUGACGCUGAGACGUGAAAGCGUGGGGAGCAAACAGG
rnacentral:rRNA from 1 species